AUUACAGUAGUUUAAAUCUAAAACACUAAUUUGUGGAAUUAAAAAUAUUAGUCUAACCUAAUCUAUAAUC
rnacentral:tRNA from 1 species